rnacentral:lncRNA from 1 species
GAGGGGCGGGGCCGCGCAGGGACUACAAAGACCGGCGUACCCGGCCCGCCGGCCCCAGCCUCGCUUUCCGGUGCGUCGGGCGCGGUGUGUUUUGGGACUUGUAGUUCUAUGGUGUCGCGGUGGGGUCCUGCGGGGUGGGGCUGCCCCUGAGGGUGGCUGCGCCGCCGUGCUGGAAUGAAGGCGCAGGAGGGGGGUUGGUCUGCGCUUUCCGGGUUCCUGGACAUAAGAAAGCCUCAGGCCUCUGUCAGACGCGGGCUCCUAACGUGGUUUCACCUAGCCCUGCCAUAAAGCCCCGCUGUACUGCGAGGUGUCAGCGGGAGCACCUGGAUCAAAGUGAUCUGGGAAUUCCUGGGUCAUGGGGGUGGGAAUAAAUCAGUAUCUCGCCAUCUCAUAGUGACUUAGGGUAUAGGAACAAGGCGCGAAGCUGAAUUUCUUCGGUCGUUUGGACAUUCCAAGAAAGCCAGUGGGAUUUUUUUGGCUGCUGAGGAAUGUGGGCUCAUUGCCUUCAUGUCUCAAGGUUCCAUCCGCCCGCAAAAUCAUCAGGAAUGACUCAGUUCUUCCCUGUGUGCUCCGUCCGUGGCAAUCCGGCUUGGAGAAACGCGAGCAGCCGAAGCAAAGCCGCUCUAAGCAGAAACGACUGUGACUCACAUCGCAGGCGAGAUGAGCCACCCUGUGGCAAUAUCCUGCAAUUUGCCUUUAUUGAGGGCGGAAGGACGACAAAACUAGUUGCUGAAUGUGUAAAGCAGUGGAAAGUAUUUGCUGGCUUUUUUUAA